ACGGAAGGCAGCAGUGAGGAAUAUUGGUCAAUGGACGGAAGUCUGAACCAGCCAAGUCGCGUGAAGGAUGAAGGUAUUAUGUAUUGUAAACUUCUUUAGCAGUGGAGUAAUAAGGGGAUCGUGAUCCCUGAUGCAAGUACACUGAGAAUAAGGAUCGGCUAACUCCGUGCCAGCAGCCGCGGUAAUACGGAGGAUCCGAGCGUUAUCCGGAUUUAUUGGGUUUAAAGGGUGCGCAGGCGGCUUUUUAAGUCAGUGGUUAAAUCGUGACGCUCAACGUCAUCACGCCAUUGAUACUGGAGAGCUUGAUUGCGGUCGAGGUUUGCGGAAUUCGUUGUGUAGCGGUGAAACGCAUAGAUAUGACGAAGAACACCGAUUGCGUAGGCAGCAGACCAGGCCGUAAAUGACGCUCAUGCACGAAAGUGCGGGGAUCGAACAGGAUUAGAUACCCUGGUA
rnacentral:rRNA from 1 species